rnacentral:rRNA from 1 species
GGGUGAGUAAUACUUAGGGAUCUGCCUCUGUGUGGGGGAUAACUAUUGGAAACGAUAGCUAAUACCGCAUAAUGUCUACGGACCAAAGAGGGCUUUUAGCUCUCGCGCAGAGAGGAACCUAAGCGAGAUUAGCUAGUUGGUGAGGUAAAGGCUCACCAAGGCGACGAUCUCUAGCUGUUCUGAGAGGAAGAUCAGCCACACUGGAACUGAGACACGGUCCAGACUCCUACGGGAGGCAGCAGUGGGGAAUAUUGCACAAUGGGGGAAACCCUGAUGCAGCCAUGCCGCGUGUGUGAAGAAGGCCUUCGGGUUGUAAAGCACUUUCAGUUGUGAGGAAAGUUUAGUAGUUAAUACCUGCUAGAUGUGACGUUAGCAACAGAAGAAGCACCGGCUAACUCCGUGCCAGCAGCCGCGGUAAUACGGAGGGUGCAAGCGUUAAUCGGAAUUACUGGGCGUAAAGCGCACGCAGGUGGAAUGUUAAGCUAGAUGUGAAAGCCCAGCGCUCAACGUUGGACGGUCAUUUAGAACUGGCAUUCUAGAGUUUUGGAGAGGGGAGUGGAAUUCCAGGUGUAGCGGUGAAAUGCGUAGAGAUCUGGAGGAACAUCAGUGGCGAAGGCGACUCUCUGGCCAGAAACUGACACUCAUGUGCGAAAGUGUGGGUAGCGAACAGGAUUAGAUACCCUGGUAGUCCACACCGUAAACGCUGUCUACUA